AUUGAACGCUGGCGGCAUGCCUAACACAUGCAAGUCGAGCGGAUGAAGUGAGCUUGCACCUGGAUUCAGCGGCGGACGGGUGAGUAAUGCCUAGGAAUCUGCCUGGUAGUGGGGGAUAACGUCCGGAAACGGGCGCUAAUACCGCAUACCUCCUGAUGGCGCAACAGGGGGCUCCUCCGCCCUCACCCUAUCAGAUAAGCCUAGGUCGGAUUAGAUAGCCGGGGGGGUAAUGGCCUUCCAAGGCGACGAUCCGCAACUGGUCGGAGAGGAAGAUCAGUCACACGGGAAGGGAGACAGGGUCGCGACACCGGCGGGGGGCAGCAGUGGGGAAUAUUGGAGGAGGGGGGAAAGGCGGAUACAGCAAUGCGGCGGGUGUGAAGAAGGUCUUCGGAUUGGAAAGCGCUGUAAGUUGGGAGGAAGGGCAGUAAGUUAAGAAGUGGCUGUUUUGACGGUACCAGAAGAAGAAGCACCGGCUAACUUCGUG
rnacentral:rRNA from 1 species